rnacentral:rRNA from 1 species
AUUGAACGCUGGCGGCAUGCUUUACACAUGCAAGUCGAACGGCAGCACGGGAGCUUGCUCCUGGUGGCGAGUGGCGAACGGGUGAGUAAUGCAUCGGAACGUACCCAGUCGUGGGGGAUAACUAUCCGAAAGGAUAGCUAAUACCGCAUACGUCCUGAGGGAGAAAGCGGGGGAGUCGCAAGACCUCGCGCGAUUGGAGCGGCCGAUAUCGGAUUAGCUAGUUGGUGGGGUAAAGGCUCACCAAGGCGACGAUCCGUAGCGGGUCUGAGAGGACGACCAGCACACUGGGACUGAGACACGGCCCAGACUCCUACGGGAGGCAGCAGUGGGGAAUUUUGGACAAUGGGCGCAAGCCUGAUCCAGCCAUGCCGCGUGCGGGAAGAAGGCCUCGGUGUAACGACUUGUCUAGGAGAAAGGUACGAG